rnacentral:rRNA from 1 species
UGGGGAAUAUUGGACAAUGGGCGCAAGCCUGAUCCAGCCAUGCCGCGUGAGUGAUGAAGGCCCUAGGGUUGUAAAGCUCUUUCACCGGUGAAGAUAAUGACGGUAACCGGAGAAGAAGCCCCGGCUAACUUCGUGCCAGCAGCCGCGGUAAUACGAAGGGGGCUAGCGUUGUUCGGAUUUACUGGGCGUAAAGCGCACGUAGGCGGACUUUUAAGUCAGGGGUGAAAUCCCGGGGCUCAACCCCGGAACUGCCUUUGAUACUGGAAGUCUUGAGUAUGGUAGAGGUGAGUGGAAUUCCGAGUGUAGAGGUGAAAUUCGUAGAUAUUCGUUGGAACACCAGUGGCGAAGGCGGCUCACUGGACCAUUACUGACGCUGAGGUGCGAAAGCGUGGGGAGCAAACAGG